GUAAGGAAUAUUGGUCAAUGGAGGCAACUCUGAACCAGCCAUGCCGCGUGCAGGAAGACGGCCCUCUGGGUUGUAAACUGCUUUUAUCUGGGGAUAAACCUACCUUCGUGAAGGUAGCUGAAUGUACCAGAAGAAUAAGGAUCGGCUAACUCCGUGCCAGCAGCCGCGGUAAUACGGAGGAUCCAAGCGUUAUCCGGAUUUAUUGGGUUUAAAGGGUGCGUAGGCGGCCUGUUAAGUCAGGGGUGAAAGACGGUGGCUCAACCAUCGCAGUGCCCUUGAUACUGAUGGGCUUGAAUGGACUAGAGGUAGGCGGAAUGUGACAAGUAGCGGUGAAAUGCAUAGAUAUGUCACAGAACACCGAUUGCGAAGGCAGCUUACUAUGGUCUUAUUGACGCUGAGGCACGAAAGCGUGGGGAUCGAACAGGAUUAGAAACCCGUGUAGUCC
rnacentral:rRNA from 1 species